rnacentral:lncRNA from 1 species
ACAAACUAGGUUUGUAAUCUAUCCACAUCUAGUGAAACCUUGCAUUUUUACUGAAAUACCCUUUUGCACACUUAUGAACUACAUGUUGGGAUUGAGCCCCUAAAAGUAGGGCAUGAUAUAAUGAAGAUAGAGUUUACCUUCUACUUGUUAUUCCUUUUAUGCAUUGAUCUUGAUUUAAUCACUCAACCCAUAUCGCUUAUAUUAUACAUGAUUUGGUUGCAUUAGGAGUUGUAUAGAAGAUAUAACUCAUGGGUUAUUUACAAGAUAAGUUGUUCAUAGUCAAUUAAUGAAUUUGGGCAAUUCA